CCUCGUCUUCUGGGCUAUCAACAUCUUCACGUCCUUGAUUUCUUCAUUCCGAUCUAAUCCAAUAUUUGAAAAAAACUAAAUUUUCAAAGCAAUGUUUCCCAAUGAGUGACGAGUGUCUCUAAGUUGUUGUCUUGCUUGGCUAAAUGUACUCUCUCAUGCAAUAGUAGAAAUUGGCACAUUCAGCACGUCCCGAGCCAUAGCAAAAAAAACAAAAAAUUGUUUUUCAUUCUCAUGCCACCAUCCCAACGAUAAAAAUUUCUUUGUGCGAGACUUUUUUUGCUUCUGCAAGUAGAAUUGAAGUUCAUCAAUGUUCCUGCUAUUUGAUUAAUCAUCCUGGAGCUAAGGCUCCAUCUCGAUUAAUUUUGAGUUGGGUGCGAUCAAUUCCUAGUCUCCAAGGAGAUCUUGGAUGUGACUGCUGAGGGCUUCGCCUCUUUCAAAUUUUCAAUCCUCUAGGUUCUUGGCUUUAUUUUUAGUUUUUGAUUUAAUUCUGUAAAAGCUGGUCUUUGAUCCUUUUUGAUGGCGAAGCAACCUGAAUCCUCAGUUGGAUAGUUUUGUUUUGAAAUUCUUGAAAAGCUGGUCUUUGAUGCCAUUUUGAUGGUUUGAGUGUUAGAAAAUAUAGAAAAAACAUCAAAAUUAUCAAGGCCUUCUUCAUCAUCCACAGUAGGAUAAGUGGUACAGUGCAUAGUGGGAUUAACAUUGCUUACAUCACGAGCAACAUCAUCAAUUACAUUUGCAUAAUAAUAAUAUAAUUGUUGUAAAUAAUUAUUUAGCUUGUUCAUAGAAACAUAUAAAUCUGGGGUUUCAGUUGAUCCAAUCUCCAUAUAAGUAUAUAAAGUAUUCAUUAAUUGGUGAUAGUUAGACAUCUUAGUAGAAGGAUUUAAAACAUCACUAAUUAAGUAAAUCAGAGGAAUUUGAAAGAAAUAUUUUUUGAGUUUUGCUUGCAUUUUUUCAACAACAUCCUUAUUUUUCUUUCUUCUUAAAUUUAAAGAGUAGAAAAAUAAUUUCAGCUAUAUGUACUAACGCCAUAGUAACAGUAGGGUAAUAUGCUCCAGAAAACUCAACAGUAGCUGUAUAAAAUUUAUGUAAAAAUUUAACAACAUCAUUAAUGACCUCCCAGGUACUAGUAACAUACAGUUUGGAUCAGUACAAUGCGCAUUAGCAACUUCAGUUAUUGGGAAUCUCUAUUUGUAGCAACAUUUUAAAAAUAUAUAUUUAUAAUUCCAUCUAGUAACAAUUUUGUCUGGCAUGAAUCUGGGUUUACGGUUAUAUUGGAUACACUUAUUCUUAAAUUCCUUUAUUCUAGAUUGUCUAUUAUUUCCUUGAAUAACACCAACUGCUCUUCUAACAUGAGUAAUCUCAGUUGAAAAUAAAUCAAGGUUACUUUUAACAGUUAAAUUAUAAACAUGACAUGCACACCUAAUAUGAAAAAUGUCAUCAAGAGGUGGUUUCAAAUGUAGUUUUAAUAUUGAAAUUGCGGAAUUAUUGUUAGAAGCAUUAUCAAAAUACAUACACAAUACUUUUUGCUUUAGAUUAUAAAAUUCAAUAACUUCACAAAUGGUACUACUUAUAAACGCAGCAGUAUGACUCUGAUUUUCAUCAUAUCUAAAAGCGAUAAUACGUUUUUUCAUUCAAGUAGUAUCAUCUAUCCAAUAACAUGUAAUUAUCAAAUAAUUAUUUUCAUUAACAACAUGUCUAAUGUCAGAAGUUAGAGAAACUCUACAAGGAAGGUGGCUAAACAAAUAACAUAUGCAUAUUUGAUAUUGUCCAUGAAGUCUAAAGAUAUCAGCUCUACAUGUACUUCUAGGGAUACCUAUAAAUAAAGGACUGUAAAUCCUUUGAAUAUACAUAAUAAGAUGUGAUGAAGAAUCAAAAGAAAAGGUAGACAACCCAAAGCAAUUAUUUUUUUCAACUCCCCACGAUCCUUUAUUUUAUCAUAUUUCACUAGACCUCCAGUAGUAGGGUUAAGAGUUUUUUUAUUUCCAUCACCGUCCCUAUUCUUUGGGAUGCUCAGUUCUCAUAUGUCUACUAAGCAUCCCAAUCCCCCUAAAUUUUCUCCAGUCAAGUGUUUAAAAUCACCAUUACAAAUUUUGUAUUUAACUCUAUCAGUACCUUUUAUUAUUUUAAAAAAAAAUCAAACCUUACUUCUUUUUCAACGAUUAGUAGUCGGAGCCACAGGUGAUCUACUCCUAGUGCCACGACCACCAUCCCUUGUAGCAAUUCCAACACUACCAGCUCCAGCACUAGUAGGUGUACUGGUAUCUUAUCUUCCAC
rnacentral:lncRNA from 1 species